rnacentral:rRNA from 1 species
UGAGGAAUAUUGGUCAAUGGGCGAGAGCCUGAACCAGCCAAAUCGCGUGAAGGAAGACUGCCCUACGGGUUGUAAACUUCUUUUAUAGGGGAAUAAAAAAGGGAACGAGUUCCCUAUUGUGUGUACCCUAUGAAUAAGCAUCGGCUAACUCCGUG